GGCUGCGCAGUGUCGGCACAUCCGGGCACUGGGGCAGGAUGAGCGCUCCUUUCCAAGAUGGCGGCGGAGGGAGGUGGGAAGGAGAUGAACGAGAUUAAGACCCAGUUCACCACCCGGGAGGGGCUGUACAAGCUGCUGAGCCACUCGGAGUACAGCCGGCCUAACCGCGUGCCCUUCAACUCGCAGGGCUCCAACCCCGUCCGCGUCUCCUUCGUCAACGUCAACGACCAGAGCGGCAACGGGGACCGGCUCUGCUUCAAUGUGGGCCGGGAGCUCUACUUCUACAUCUACAAGGGGGUCCGCAAGGCUGCGGACUUGAGUAAACCAAUAGACAAAAGGAUAUACAAAGGAACACAGCCUACAUGCCAUGACUUCAAUCACUUAACAGCCACAGCAGAAAGUGUGUCUCUUCUAGUGGGCUUCUCUGCAGGCCAGGUCCAACUUAUAGACCCUAUUAAAAAAGAAACUAGCAAAUUAUUUAAUGAGGAAAGACUAAUAGACAAGUCCCGAGUAACCUGUGUAAAAUGGGUACCAGGUUCGGAAAGCCUUUUCCUAGUAGCUCAUUCCAGUGGCAAUAUGUACUUGUAUAACGUGGAGCACACUUGUGGUACCACAGCCCCGCACUACCAGCUACUUAAACAAGGAGAGAGUUUUGCAGUGCAUACUUGCAAGAGUAAAUCCACAAGAAACCCUCUGCUUAAAUGGACAGUAGGUGAGGGUGCCCUGAAUGAAUUUGCCUUUUCCCCCGAUGGGAAGUUCUUGGCGUGUGUGAGCCAGGAUGGUUUUCUUCGCGUGUUUAACUUUGAUUCAGUGGAAUUGCAUGGUACAAUGAAAAGCUACUUUGGAGGACUGCUGUGUGUGUGUUGGAGCCCUGAUGGGAAAUACAUAGUGACAGGAGGAGAGGAUGACUUGGUAACAGUUUGGUCCUUCGUGGACUGUCGAGUUAUAGCGAGAGGCCACGGACAUAAAUCGUGGGUCAGUGUCGUUGCGUUUGAUCCGUAUACCACUAGCGUAGAAGAGAGUGACCCGAUGGAAUUUAGCGGAAGUGAUGAGGAUUUCCAAGACCUUCAUUUUGGCAGAGAUCGAGCAAAUAGCACGCAAUCUAGACUAUCCAAAAGGAACUCUACAGACAGUCGUCCAGUAAGUGUUACGUAUAGAUUUGGUUCAGUAGGCCAGGACACACAGCUCUGUUUGUGGGAUCUUACAGAAGAUAUCCUCUUCCCCCACCAACCUCUCUCAAGAGCAAGGACACAUACAAAUGUCAUGAAUGCCACAAGUCCACCUGCAGGAAGUAGUGGAACUAACCCAGGAAGUAAUGGAAACAGUAUCACAACACCUGGAAACUCUGUACCCCCUCCUCUUCCACGGUCAAACAGCCUUCCACACUCUGCAGUCUCAAAUGCUGGCAGUAAAAGCAGUGUCAUGGAUGGUGCCAUUGCUUCUGGCGUUAGUAAAUUUGCAACCUUAUCGCUACACGAUCGGAAGGAAAGACACCAUGAGAAAGAUCACAAGAGAAACCAUAGCAUGGGACAUAUAUCUAGCAAGAGCAGUGACAAACUGAACCUAGUUACUAAAACCAAAACGGACCCAGCUAAAACUUUGGGAACACCUCUCUGUCCCCGAAUGGAAGAUGUUCCCUUGUUAGAGCCUCUUAUCUGUAAAAAGAUAGCACAUGAAAGACUGACUGUGUUAAUUUUUCUUGAAGACUGUAUAGUCACUGCUUGUCAGGAGGGAUUUAUUUGCACAUGGGCAAGGCCUGGUAAAGUGAGAUAAAGUAUGCAGUACCAAAAAUCAGGAUUUAUGUAUUGGCCAAUAUGGAAAACUUUAACUACAGGCCCUUUCCCAGGAUGGGAAACCUUAAUGGGAUUACAGAACAGUUGGAUUAAUCUGAAAAUAUAGAAACAGAAUUUGGAAGGAACAAAAGUAAACUUCAUUGUGCUAUCUUUAUAGCUACGUCAAACUGAAUUACAGGAUCUGCAGAAGCAAUUUAAAAAAACCCCAGCAAAAGCAACCCACAAAACCCCAAAGUGGUACUUGGAUAUGCAAAAUAAGUUUUCUGUGAACUCAGUGGUCAGAGUAACUACUUAUGUGAUUUCUGUGUUGGACUUCAGAACUGACUGUCUGUACAGCAAAUCCAUUUUAAGUGAAUGAAAGUUGCUGGUGAGUUCCCUGUGUCAGAAAGCUCAAGGUAAGAUUGGCCAGAAGCACCCCCAGGAGAAAUGGCAGUGUAUAACCUAGCAAGAGAAACAUCCUACCACUUUGUAAAACAAAUGCACGUGGAAUUUAUUUAUUUGACUUAUUGUACAGGAAAACUUAGACUUAAAUUAUAACAUCCUUGAAUUUUCUAGUUAACUACAAUUGUAGUACAGUAUCAUGUUUUAGUAUGACUUCUGUUUUAGUGAAAGUACUUAAACAUUCAUGUACUAUAUUUGAGUGAGACGAGCAGCUAUACAUACUAAUUCUUCCUCAGUGGAAAGGAGCAUUUCAUCAUUACAAUUGAAGUUCAAUUGCUGGUAUUUAAGUACUAUCAAAUAGAUUUCUUUCAACGUGAUACGGUAUCUGUAUAAACUUCAGGGAUGAUUAUAGUUAAACUGAAACACAGCUAUACAACUUCAGGUUACCAUGCUAAAAUUUGAAUCUUUCUGUAAUGUGCACAAUAGCAAAGUUGCACAUGGCAUACCCACAUUAUCAGGGUGAAUUAAAACUAGAGUACACUGGUGUGAUAUUUAUAGCAAGGUAUGUGUGUGUGUGCGUGUGUGAGGAGGUGUGACAAGUGGCUCCAGAAAAGCCAGGAGAGAUCAUAACCCUGUGAAGGCUUUAUGAUGAGGAUGUCUGGAUUAGGAAAUAACAUGACUUUUACUAAACACUUUCUAGAAAACCCAUGUUCUGCAUUAUCACCUCUUAAAAUUUGAGUAUGUACUUGGAAUGACUGUAUAUGUCUGCCCCUUUAACAAUAUAAAAAUACUAAAUUAAUAUUUAAAAUGCUGGCCUGCUUAUGUUACAAUAAUAAAAUUUGUGUCAGUUAAUUUACUGUCAAUUUACAUGUAAAGAUUAAACUAUUUUUUCUGCAUUUUAUGAUUCUGUAUACUGGAGUUUGUUAAAGAUUGACAUGUUAGGUGAUACUGUACAAAAUUGUAUUGACUACCUUUAGUGAAAAUCAAAAGUAAAAUUCAUAUGUAUUUCCUUUUUACACUUCCAUCUAAUUUCUUGACAACUUGAAUAAAUUUCAUAGAGCCUU